GGGAGGGUCACCCGCCGAAUUUAAGCAUAUUAGUAAGCGGAGGAAAAGAAACUAACCAGGAUUCCCUCAGUAACGGCGAGUGAACAGGGAAGAGCCCAGCGCCGAAUCC
rnacentral:rRNA from 1 species